ensembl:lncRNA
GGGAUAGAAGUGAUUGUAUGGAGAAAACCCAGCAAAAUAAGCUUCCUUUAUGUUAUGUUACAUGUUGAUUCCUUCUGGCAAGUUUUAGAAAAUUGCAAAUAGAGAAAUGCCUUUACAGUCAACUUAAGAUUCUUAGUAUCAGGAGACUUUACAGAGAAGAUCAAAGAAAUGAAUCUUCUCAGAGGAAGACUUUUUAAAAAAGUAAUGUUUUAAUGUUAAUGUCGCAUGAUGACAACUUUUAUUAAGUACCAUAAUUGGGCAAAUGUCAUUCUUCUAUUAGUAAUGCAUCAUUUUUUUCAGAUACCGCAAGAAGCAAGUGCAGAAAUGUCAUGAAGGACCAGGCAGUGCACCUGCUUUCCUAGUAAGUCAAAAGCUUCAGGCAGAUGCCAUGGAGACAAAAGAGGCAAAGCCAAAGCUCACCUUUCAGUCUUCUGAGAGCCAGAAAGUGACACUUGAGAGCGGCAUGGGAAAUGGCGCAGUGGAAGAGCUUGUGAAGAGAGAGAGCGCCCAGGUCCACAAAUAACUCAGUGUUCCACGUGGCCUUCAGUCUAGCCUGUCUUCCCUGUUUCCCAUCCAGACAGCUUCCAUGCUCCUCAGUUUUCCCACUAAUAAAAAGGAGCUCAGGCCAAGGAACACAGAAGGAGUAUAAGUGGUUCCCAUGGAGACGUGAUGCUUGAUCUACCUUGUUGAUCUACCAUGUUCUGUUGCUCAUGGUCUAUGGUAAUUUGGCAGGUAGGUUGAAGUCUGCCUUCAAGUUUCAAAUAGCACUGAAGUCACGAAGUCCUUUGCAAAAUGAGGGUUCCAAGAUGUAUUAGGAUAAUUAAUCCUAGCUGCCACAACAAAUAAAAC